UGAUGGUGGCUCAGAUUGAACGCUGGCGGCAGGCCUAACACAUGCAAGUCGAGCGGUAACAGAUUGAUAGCUUGCUAUCAAUGCUGACGAGCGGCGGACGGGUGAGUAAUGCCUGGGAAUAUACCCUGAUGUGGGGGAUAACUAUUGGAAACGAUAGCUAAUACCGCAUAAUCUCUUCGGAGCAAAGAGGGGGACCUUCGGGCCUCUCGCGUCAGGAUUAGCCCAGGUGGGAUUAGCUAGUUGGUGGGGUAAUGGCUCACCAAGGCGACGAUCCCUAGCUGGUCUGAGAGGAUGAUCAGCCACACUGGAACUGAGACACGGUCCAGACUCCUACGGGAGGCAGCAGUGGGGAAUAUUGCACAAUGGGGGAAAUCCCUGAUGCAGCCAUGCCGCGUGUAUGAAGAAGGCCUUCGGGUUGUAAAGUACUUUCAGUUGUGAGGAAGGCG
rnacentral:rRNA from 1 species